UCGCUUGCGUUUGCUCCUUUCUCCAGUUAUGUAGUUUCUGUUUCUGUGUAGAACUUUUGAAACUGCAGUUUGAUUUGAUCCACUGGUGCUACAAUCUUCACAAUUGCUAGUAGAUUCACAAGAAUAUCUUAACUCAGCAUCAGUUGUGCUAUUCAUAUCCACAUUAUUUUCAGGAGAACCAUCUGUAUGAGCAUUGCUCAUGGAAGUUUCACCAUCUGAAUGUUUACUGGUAGCAUGAUCCACUUCAAGAGAACAGUUUCUUGAUGAACAAUAGCUGGGUUCUGGUUG
rnacentral:misc_RNA from 1 species